rnacentral:rRNA from 1 species
UACGAAGGGGGCUAGCGUUGUUCGGAAUUACUGGGCGUAAAGGGCGCGUAGGCGGCCCUCCAAGUCAGAUGCGAAAGCCCCGGGCUUAACCUGGGAAUUGCAUUUGAGACUGAAGGGCUUGAGUUUCGGAGAGGUGGGUGGAAUUCCCAGUGUAGAGGUGAAAUUCGUAGAUAUUGGGAAGAACACCGGUAGCGAAGGCGACCCACUGGACGAACACUGACGCUGAGGCGCGAAAGCGUGGGGAGCAAACAGG